UACGUAGGUCCCGAGCGUUGUCCGGAUUUAUUGGGCGUAAAGCGAGCGCAGGUGGUUUAUUAAGUCUGGUGUAAAAGGCAGUGGCUCAACCAUUGUAUGCAUUGGAAACUGGUAGACUUGAGUGCAGGAGAGGAGAGUGGAAUUCCAUGUGUAGCGGUGAAAUGCGUAGAUAUAUGGAGGAACACCGGUGGCGAAAGCGGCUCUCUGGCCUGUAACUGAUACUGAGGCUCGAAAGCGUGGGGAGCAAAUAGG
rnacentral:rRNA from 1 species